rnacentral:rRNA from 1 species
GACGGAGGAUGCAAGUGUUAUCCGGAAUCACUGGGCGUAAAGCGUCUGUAGGUGGUUUAAUAAGUCAACUGUUAAAUCUUGAGGCUCAACCUCAAAAUCGCAGUCGAAACUAUUAGGCUAGAGUAUAAUAGGGGUAAAGGGAAUUUCCAGUGGAGCGGUGAAAUGCGUAGAGAUUGGAAAGAACACCGAUGGCGAAGGCACUUUACUGGGCUAUUACUAACACUCAGAGACGAAAGCUAGGGUAGCAAACGGG